UGCCAAUCUGUGGUUAGACAGAAGUUUACUUUCUCUUAUAUUAUUAUUGAAGCUAAACUCUCGGCUCUUCCCUUAAUAGACCCCCGAUUCUGGAAAGACCACCUAUUCAAGGUUUAGAAGUUCCAUUGUGAAGAAAUUGAUGUCCAGUGUUCCUGUUGCUAGUAGCCCUAUUAGCACAAGAUGGCAGCAGGUGCACAGGAGAAGUGAAGCGGAGCAAACUUUCACAGAAUGUCGGCCUAUUAAUGUCUCAGCAUCAGAUGGGUCUGAGCUAACAAGGACACCUGAAGCAAUCCCAAAAAUUCCAGUAACCUCUCCUAUGCUUAUCAAAACCUCUGCCACGGAGCCUGUUAUAAAUAUGAAUGCCAGAUAUCACAAGACUUACAGGGAAGACUCACAAGGAAGAAAUAGAAGAACAGCUGAAAGUACAAGUGAACAGGCAAGUAGUGCAAUAUUCCAAAUGUGCUGACAGGAUACUGACUUUCCAGAUAUUUAUCCGCUCGGUACAUUUUGCUCCCUUCUCCUAGACUCUCGCAAAUAUAUUCUACCUUUUUAACAUGUUAAAGAGUGAUUAUAACAACUAACUCUACAGCACCCUCAACAUAAAUGUUAUUUCAAAUUGCCCUGUUGCUUGUGGCUAAUUUAGAUUCAUUUAUCUCUUCUGUCAACUUCUUCCAAUCUACCAUCUUGCAAACCAAAAUUGAAACCUAACUGAUGAAACCCGCAAGAUGCAUGCCCUACCCCCUGAGGAAAUUGUGCAAGUGUCUUCAUUAGUGUUAUAAAAAGAUAUUUGUGACACCAUUUCCCCACUCAUUUUGUAUUGUUGACCACUGUGGGCCGAUAAAGGUUGAGGGAUGGGUGUUGGUCAAGUAGUCUGUAUGGACUGUUACGAAUGAUUUAUCAAGAACAGCCCACGUAGUGGCAUGCCUUUGAGAAAAAAUGGAAAUUUUCAGUGUUCUUGCUUGUAUCGAUUCAUGUCAUGCAACAGACAAUACAUUUGUUUUUAAUCAUUAUACAUAGUCAUCAUGUCAAGCUCAUUAUUCAAACAGCAGGGUGGUUGCUGUUUUCUAACACUUGGCUUUUCUAUGCAUCAAAUAUUGUGGGAAGGCCAUUCCUGUAUACCCUUCUAGAAAACAUAGUCACUGAACAUGGUCAGUCCGUCCGUCUAAUCAAGGCUGCUAUUCUAGGAAGUUCUCUUUCAAGAUUAGCAGUGCUUUCCAUGAAUCAUAGCAGAGUGUUGAUUUUGAAGGUAGGUUUUUUAGUUCAAAGUAAAUUUAUUUGAUUCAUAUACUUGAUUUUUUUUAAUUCCAGUUCUCUGUAUGGUUGUGGGUACCUUAUAUAAAGUGGCAGCGAUACUUGGAUAGCACUUUUCCUCCUUAGAUCUCAAAGGACACUGAUGCACAGAAAGGCAAGCCACUUGCCUAAUAUUACACUACGUGCCCACAUGUGCAAUUAAUGUGAAACAAUAAACUCUGGAGCAGUUUGAUGUGGAGUAAAUUA
rnacentral:lncRNA from 1 species